rnacentral:rRNA from 1 species
AACGAACGCUGGCGGCAUGCCUAAUACAUGCAAGUCGAACGAGAUCUUCGGAUCUAGUGGCGCACGGGUGCGUAACGCGUGGGAAUCUACCCUUGGGUUCGGAAUAACGUCGGGAAACUGAUGCUAAUACCGGCUGAUGACGUAAGUCCAAAGAUUGAGCGCCCAAGGAUGAGCCCGCGUAGGAUUAGCUAGUUGGUGGGGUAAAGGCCUACCAAGGCGACGAUCCUUAGCUGGUCUGAGAGGAUGAUCAGCCACACUGUGACUGGGACACGGCCCAGACUCCUACGGGAGGCAGCAGUAGGGAAUAUUGGACAAUGGGGGCAACCCUGAUCCAGCAAUGCCGCGUGAGCGAUGAAGGCCUUAGGGUUGUAAAGCUCUUUUACCCGAGAUGAUAAUGACAGUAUCGGGAGAAUAAGCCCCGGCUAACUCCGUGCCAGCAGCCGCCGUAA